AAUAGAAUGCCUGAAAAAAAGGGUUAUUUUGAUAGAAUAAAUUAUGUAAUUUUUUACUUCUGUUA
rnacentral:tRNA from 1 species